rnacentral:rRNA from 1 species
GUAACAAAGCGACCCAGGAAUGCUUGGGCGUGCCUCCACCCACGCCGGCGUCGGCGGGCGUAUUUCGCCUCACAGUAGGUCGCCGCGACCCGUUGCUUUUGGGGACGUCGAAGGCCCGGACGGAUUGGUACCCUACCGGCUGGGGAUGCGGCUUCGGCUUCUCCUCUUGUCCGGUGGGCGAAACCGCCGGUGUCCUGGCUGCCCUGCGACGGUCGUAGAGACGAGCCCUCCCCUUCGGGGGGGCGGCUCUCGCGGCGUGCAAAAGGUCGGUGAUCCACCCGACCCGUCUUGAAACACGGACCAAGGAGUCUAACAUGUGUGCGAGUCAGUGGGCGCACUAAACCCAGAGGCGUAAUGAAAGUGACACGGGUUCGGCUGUCGCCUCGUGUGGCAGCCGGACUCAGGGCCGAUCCCUCACCGGUUGCCCUCGCCUCUCUCCCGCGUCUCGGUAAGCCGGGUGAGCUAUUUUCCCCGGCCGCUGCUGCGGGGCUCGGGGGGAGGCGGGGUGCGAUGGUGUCUGUAAAAAAGAGCCUGCUGUUGCAGGGGGGCGCAGGCCCGGGACUUGCCAGGACGCCGCGAGACUGUCACUUUGCUGUGAGGCUCUCGGGCCGAUCAGCGGGUCAUGCGUGCAGUCGGCAAGUACCAUGAGCAGACAUGUUGGGACCCGAAAGAUGGUGAACUAUGCCUGGCCAGGAUGAAGCCAGAGGAAACUCUGGUGGAGGUCCGUAGCGAUUCUGACGUGCAAAUCGAUCGUCGGAGCUGGGUAUAGGG